UCAAAUUUCUUCUUGUCUUGCAAAAUUAUUACAAAAUUUUGGCUUGUAUUUGAGUUAUGGAUCAAAAAAAAGCAGAAAGUGCUAAAAAGGCGAAGGAAGAUUUAAUUGAUUAUACGAUAAUCUAUUUGAGUGCUAUAUUAGCGCUAAUCGUAUUGAUAUUUGGUAGAAAUAUUUUGAACAGCUUAUGUGGUUCUUGCAACUAAUAUUGACUUUCAAUAAAAGAAAAAAAUUUAAAAAUAUUUCAAAAUUAUCAAAAUUUUAUUAUAUGAAGACCAAUAUUGCUGCAUAAUAUCUUCAAGUAUUAGAUUAACAUCUCUGCUUUAGUUGACUUGCAUUUGAAGAUCAUAAAUUUACAAAGUGAAUUCUGGUAUACUGUGAAUUUGACGAGAAUAGCAUCUCUGGUAUCUCUUUUAAUGCUUUGGCUGAUAAAGUAAAUACUGUUUUAUAUGUAUUGUGUAUUUGUAGAGAAUAACAUCUCAAAAUUUCGAAUCGUGUGCUGUAAAUAGAAGUUCAUGCCCGUUUAAUAUAUUUUCUUCUGUGCUAUCUGACUUACAACAGUGGAAUCGUGUUAAGCUGUCCAAAAACGUUUAAGAUCUGGAAUGAAUGAAAUAUACAAGUAUGAAAAUCUAUGCACUCUGGAUUCAAAAGUCAUUUGCUAAUCUAUUUUCGUUAGUGCUUGUACUGUAAAUGAAAACAUCAUCUACUUUAGAAGAAAAUAUCUUUCACUAUAUAGUAUUUCCAAUUUUGAAAAGUAAGCAAUCAAAAAUUUCCUCCAAAUGUUUUCGACAAACAGAAAGUCAGAAACGAUAAAAGUAUGAAACUUUCUUUCUAUAUACCGAAAAUUGGGGUCUUUUAUGCCAAAAACCAAAUUAGAAGUGAUGUCUUUAAAGUGAUAAUACUAUAAUUGAAAACUCAUUCUAUAAGGAUAUGAAAAUAUCUGAAAACCAAUCAUGCAAGGAUAUUGAAGCAAAUUGAUUUUUGACUAUUGUGUACACCUUCAGAAAUUUUUAUAAAAUGGACUGGUUUAGAAUUAAACUUAUGCAAAAUAUAUUUUCAGAUCUUUCGUUAGAUACAUUCAACUAUUAAAAAGCUGAAGACUAAUAAGGAUUCGCUUUUAUACCACAAAUUUUUAAUGAAAUGCAGUACAUUCUUUGGAAAUAACUUUUAGCUUAUAUUUCAUAUAAUCCUUUAUAUUCU